rnacentral:lncRNA from 1 species
CGCCGAAAUUUGUCGUUUUGCGCAGAAUCGAGUCAUUUACACUGCAUUUACACUUGCAGAAUCGACACUUUUCCGCAGAAUCUGUUCGACGGAUCCGUUUCGCUGAUUUUUUGUUCAAGUGGUAUGCGAGGUAGCUCAGGCAGCUACUUAUGUUGUCGGCGAUGACAAUGGCUGGACGUUUAACUAUCUAUGACAAGUUUUCGAUAUAGCAGCUGCUAUCACCAACACAAAAACACCUCGGUUUAACAUUCCUAUGUUAGUGAUGGAGAUUUAUGGCUGGUUAUCUGUGCUAUUCGCCAGAAUACCUGGAAAACUUACACUUAUUAGCCCUCCGUUGCAUUGUGCCACUGAAGAAAUCGGAGGGUACCAAAUUGACCAGCUCGGAGGGUAGUACUAAAUUGGCCAGCUUUAGCAUGUGUUAUGCAGCUCAACUCUAUGGUCUGCUAUGUAUCUUGAGGAUUAUUUGGAGCUAUGUUAAUUCUGUUGUGUUUGCAGAUUGUUUCAUUUGUACAUGUAUUACCCAAUAAAAGUUAGUUCGCUAUAUUUGUCCCUUCCAGAUAUUAAUUCAUCACAUUUUGUCGUGUUUGA